rnacentral:rRNA from 1 species
AAACUAAUUUAGUUUGGCGGCAUUUCAUCUAUUUAGAGGAAUUUGUCCUUUAAUCGAUAAUCCACGUUAAAUUUUACUUUAAUUCAAAAACUUAUAUACCGCCAUCUUAAGAAUUAAUUUAAAAAUAUUUCUCUAAAUAAAUUAUAAAAAGUUAGGUCAAGGUGUAAUCUAUAUUAAAGAAAAAGAUGAAUUACAUUAAAUACUAUUUAAAGAUUAUUAAUAAAAAUAUAAAUAUAAAUAAGAAUUUAAAAGUAAUUUAUAAAUAAUAAUAAUAUAUGAUAAAGAUAAUAAAUGUGCACACAUCGCCC